GAUGAAGAACGUAGCGAAAUGCGAUAAGUAAUGCGAAUUGCAGAAUCCGUGAGUCAUCGAAUCUUUGAACGCACAUUGCGCCCCUUGGUAUUCCAUGGGGCAUGCCUGUUCGAGCGUCAUUUGUACCUUCAAGCUUUGCUUGGUGUUGGGUGUUUGUCCAUUCUCUUGCAGAGGGACUCGCCUUAAAGUAAUUGGCAGCCAGUGUUUUGGUUUUGAAGCGCAGCACAAGUCGCGAUUCAAAGCUAUACGCCCGCUUCCACAAGCCUUUUUCACUUUUGACCUCGGAUCAGGUAGGGAUACCCGCUGAACUUAAGCAUAUCAAUAAGCGGAGGA
rnacentral:misc_RNA from 1 species